UACGGAGGGUGCGAGCGUUGUCCGGAAUCACUGGGCGUAAAGGGCGCGUAGGCGGCGGGGUAAGCGUGCGGUGAAAGCUCGGGGCUCAACCCCGAGUCGGCCGUGCGAACUGCCCUGCUUGAGCACUGUAGAGGCAGGUGGAAUUCCGGGUGUAGCGGUGGAAUGCGUAGAGAUCCGGAAGAACACCGGUGGCGAAGGCGGCCUGCUGGGCAGUUUGGCUGACACUGAGGCGCGACGAGCGUGGGGAGCAAACAGG
rnacentral:rRNA from 1 species